UCCUACGGGAGGCAGCAGUGGGGAAUAUUGCACAAUGGGCGAAAGCCUGAUGCAGCAACGCCGCGUGAGGGACGACGGCCUUCGGGUUGUAAACCUCUUUUAGCAGGGAAGAAGCGAAAGUGACGGUACCUGCAGAAAAAGCACCGGCUAACUACGUGCCAGCAGCCGCGGUAAUACGUAGGGUGCAAGCGUUGUCCGGAAUUAUUGGGCGUAAAGAGCUCGUAGGCGGUUUGUCGCGUCUGCUGUGAAAACUGGAGGCUCAACCUCCAGCCUGCAGUGGGUACGGGCAGACUAGAGUGCGGUAGGGGAGAUUGGAAUUCCUGGUGUAGCGGUGGAAUGCGCAGAUAUCAGGAGGAACACCAAUGGCGAAGGCAGAUCUCUGGGCCGUAACUGACGCUGAGGAGCGAAAGGGUGGGGAGCAAACAGGAUUAGAUACCCUGGUAGUCC
rnacentral:rRNA from 1 species